rnacentral:rRNA from 1 species
UAUGGCCAUAUCACAUUAAAACACUGGUUCUUGUAUGAUCACCAAAGUUAAGCAACAUUGAGCCUGUUCAGUACCUAGAUGUGUGACCACUUGGGAAUACCAGGUGCUGUAAG